rnacentral:rRNA from 1 species
GAAAGCAACGCGAAGAACCUUACCAACUCUUGACAUCCCCCUGACCCGGUACAGAGAAUGUGCCUUCCCCUUCGGGGGCAGGGGUGACAGGUGGUGCAUGGUUGUCGUCAGCUCGUGUCGUGAGAUGUUGGGUUAAGUCCCGCAACGAGCGCAACCCUUGUCCUUAGUUGCCAGCAUUAAGUUGGGCACUCUAGGGAGACUGCCGGUGACAAACCGGAGGAAGGUGGGGAUGACGUCAAAUCAUCAUGCCCCUUAUGAGUUGGGCUACACACGUGCUACAAUGGACGGUACAAAGGGCAGCGAAGCCGCGAGGUGGAGCCAAUCCCAGAAAGCCGUUCUCAGUUCGGAUUGCAGGCUGCAACUCGCCUGCAUGAAGUCGGAAUCGCUAGUAAUCGCAGGUCAGCAUACUGCGGUGAAUACGUUCCCGGGUCUUGUACACACCGCCCGUCACACCACGAGAGUUUGCAACACCCGAAGUCGGUGAGGUAACCGUAAGGAGCCAGCCGCCGAAGGUGGGGCAGAUGAUUGGGGUGAAGUCGUAACCAAAGGAAGCCCUCCC